CCCUUAGAUGUCCUGGGCCGCACGCGUGCUACACUGACGCCUACAGCGAGUACUUCCCAGCCCCGAGAGGCGGCUGGUAAUCAGCAAUAGGCGUCGUGAUGGGGAUAGAUCUUUGGAAUUAUGGAUCUUGAACGAGGAAUGCCUAGUAAGCGCAGGUCAUUAGCCUGCGCUGAUUACGUCCCUGCCCUUUGUACACACCGCCCGUCGCUACUACCGAUUUCGAGUGGUCCGGUGAAUAAUUCGGACUGCAGCACUGCUUGGUCUCCAGGCUUUGCAGCGGAAAGUUUAGUGAACCUUAUCACUUAGAGGAAGGAGAAGUCGUAACA
rnacentral:rRNA from 1 species